GGUGGGAAUGCACGGGGCUGAUGGACAUGAACCAGCGAGCUCUGAACGCUGCUGUCUCCCGGGAACAGAGCCCAGGGGGUCUAUGGCAUAAGGGCUCUCAAGCUCCCGUGCCCCCAAUACCAGUGGAGUAAAUCGAGCCUGAGACAGAGUUCCGAAAUCAGAGCAGUCGCUCCUGCCCUGCUCGAGCACACACCGUGACACUCCUCCCGCCCAGCACGGGCAUCAGGCCAAACCCCCCUGGGUGCUGGGGGAGCGGUGGAUCUCUGCCGGGGUUUCUGUCUCAAUCCGUGCAAUAAUCCAGGCCAGUGAGUAGAAACAACAGUGAGUUGUACUAAUAGUUCUGACUCUGCUCAUGUCUUUCCCUCCAAAGUAAAAGACAACCUCGCCCCGUUCCACCCCUUGACCCGCAGGGGAGUAGCUGAUGGCAGGAGCAGAGCUCAGAGAGGAGGAACCGGGAUCGGACUCUGUUCCCGAGGGCAGGUUGGAUUUGUUCCGGUGCAGAGAUUGUGCUUCCUUAUUCACAGGAAAAAGGCAACGAUUUAUAAAAAUGCAAGUUAGUGAACUCCGACGGAAGAAGGAAAAAAGCUUCUUUCACAUCUUAUUUUUAAUUGACUAAAAUUUGGACACAAUUAAAAGAGCAGAGGCAUCUCUUACAGGGUGGUAUCAGAGAAAAUGUUUGCAGCUUAUUUUGAUUGCCCAGGAGGCCCAGAAAAUCUCUAUAUGAAAGAAGUGAUGCAACCAAGUCCAGGACAAGGAGAAGUUCUUGUGAAGGUCUCUGCCAGUGCUCUGAAUAGGGCAGAUUUACUCCAGGUAUGUAUACAUUAAGCAGAUUUAUGCAGCUGAAAAUAGCACUGAUUUUUCAAGCCCCUAUCUGAGGUCUUGACAGAUCAGAAGAGUUAAAAGAGGU
rnacentral:lncRNA from 1 species